rnacentral:rRNA from 1 species
AUUGAACGCUGGCGGCAUGCUUUACACAUGCAAGUCGAACGGUAACAGGCCGCAAGGUGCUGACGAGUGGCGAACGGGUGAGUAAUGCAUCGGAACGUGCCCAGUCGUGGGGGAUAACGCAGCGAAAGCUGCGCUAAUACCGCAUACGAUCUAUGGAUGAAAGCGGGGGACCGUAAGGCCUCGCGCGAUUGGAGCGGCCGAUGUCAGAUUAGGUAGUUGGUGGGGUAAAGGCUCACCAAGCCGACGAUCUGUAGCUGGUCUGAGAGGACGACCAGCCACACUGGGACUGAGACACGGCCCAGACGCCUACGGGAGGCAGCAGUGGGGAAUUUUGGACAAUGGGCGCGAGCCUGAUCCAGCAAUGCCGCGUGCAGGAAGAAGGCCUUCGGGUUGUAAACUGCUUUUGUACGGAACGAAACGGCUCUGGUUAAUACCUGGGGCUAAUGACGGUACCGUAAGAAUAAGCACCGGCUAACUACGUGCCAGCCGCCGCGGUAACAC